rnacentral:rRNA from 1 species
GAUUAUGGCUCAGGAUUAACGCUGGCGGCGUGCCUAAUACAUGCAAGUCGAAUGGUAGCAAUACCAUGGCGAACGGGUGAGUAACACGUAGGUAACCUGUCUUUAAGCCGAGGAUAACCAUUGGAAACGAUGGAUAAUACUGGAUAGGACAUUUGAAGGCAUCUUUAGAUGUUUAAAGAUUUAUCACUUAGAGAGGGGCCUGCGGCGCAUUAGCUAGUUGGUGAGGUGAAGGCUUACCAAGGCGAUGAUGCGUAGCCGGACUGAGAGGUUGAACGGCCACAAUGGAACUGAGAACGGUCCAUACUCCUACGGGAGGCAGCAGUAGGGAAUUUUCGGCAAUGGGCGGAAGCCCUGACCGAGCAACGCCGCGUGAACGAAGAAGUAUUUCGGUAUGUAAAGUUCUUUUAUUAGGGACGAAAAGACAGAUUGACGGUACCUAAUGAAUAAGCUCCGGCUAACUACGUGCCAGCCGCCGC